rnacentral:rRNA from 1 species
GACGGACGGUGCAAGCGUUGCUCGGAAUCACUGGGCGUAAAGGGUGCGUAGGCGGCUUGGUAAGUUGGGUGUGAAAGCCCCGGGCUCAGCCCGGGAAGGGCACUCGAAACUGCCGAGCUGGAGUGCCGGAGGGGAGAGUGGAAUUCCUGGUGUAGCGGUGAAAUGCGUAGAGAUCGUAAGGAAGACCAGUGGCGAAGGCGAGUUUCUGGACGGUAACUGACGCUGAGGCACGGAGGCCAGGGGAGCAAACGGG